rnacentral:rRNA from 1 species
UACGAAGGGGGCUAGCGUUGCUCGGAAUUACUGGGCGUAAAGCGCACGUAGGCGGUCUUUUAAGUCGGGGGUGAAAUCCUGGAGCUCAACUCCAGAACUGCCUUCGAUACUGGAAGACUUGAGUCCGGGAGAGGUGGAGUGGAACUGCGAGUGUAGAGGUGAAAUCGUAGAUAUCGGGAGGAACACCCAUGGCGAAGGCAGCAGCUGGGCGACGACCU